UUUAACUGAAGAGUUUGAUCAUGGCUCAGAUUGAACGCUGGCGGCAGGCUUAACACAUGCAAGUCGAGCGGGGGAAGGUAGCUUGCUACUGGACCUAGCGGCGGACGGGUGAGUAAUGCUUAGGAAUCUGCCUAUUAGUGGGGGACAACAU
rnacentral:rRNA from 1 species